UGCAGAGGCAUGGGAGAGCAGAGGUGGAUGACUGCUUGUAAGAAACAAAUGGUUUGUUUAUGAAAAGGAGCCUUGAGCCUUGUGCAUAUGCUGACAUACCUUGCUGCCUCUCCUAUACAGCUGUAUGUGCAAACCACAGAGGAGUUAUUGAAGCCAGGAUAUGGCCAGUAGAGCAACAUCCUGCUGCCAGCUCCAACUGCAUUAAACCCUGGAGACUCUGUUGAAUGGAUGUGGCCCUGGACAUUUUGAUACAUGGACCAGCAAUGGCUGGCCCUUCUGGCACCUUGGGAAAAAGGCUGGGAAGUUGGCCUCGUGUGUAUUCCUGGAGUAACAGCAGAGUGGCCCCCAAAGAUCAUUGUAGGAUACCCAAAACGCCUGGGAGGUUAUUUUCUACAGUCCCUGUGGCCUGGCCCCACCCCCAGCUACAGCUGCUGCGUGAUGAUUGCUUUGAACUCCCUACCUGUUCAGCUACUGACUGCCUGUGGAAUGGGAGAGCUUUGGACUCAAUCUGCACAGGACUUUGAACCUACCUGAAUCCUCUGGCUUAAGGAUUAUCAUGAUUUUAUUGCUGUUGCUAUUGUAUGUUAUUAGUCUGGUUAAAAUGUUCCAGUUUUCUCACACAGGAACCAUUGUGGAAGUUGGGGAAUGAGUAGAUUGUUAGGUGAAAUUUCAGCUUUGGGUAAAAUUGCAGUAUUUCAAGAAUCUCUCACCUGGCCUUAGUGCAUCUCCAUAUCAUAGGUGUUCCCAAGGGGUGGAGAGAAGUAGUCCAUCUCCACAUCAAAAAGUAAUUAUAAAGGCAAGCGAGGACUGGAGAGGUUGGAGGGGGUCUCUUCUUCUGCAGCCAGGUCAUGAGAGACACGGGAGAGCAGAGGUGGAUGACUGCUUGUAAGAAAUAAACGGGUUUCUCCCACUUUAUUUCUCUCUUUGACUGAUUUCAGUUUCAAAGGUAUUUUGCACUGGAAUUUCCCGCCCGGAAUUACAGAUGGUUUACCAGUCACCCAAUCUUGCAAGACCAUCAUCAUUAAAGCCUCACUCUGCUGUUCUCUGACGAAGUUUGGACCAGUGAGCACAUUUCUCACAAGGGCCUUGCUGUGCACCUCAAGCACCCUCUAUUGGCAGUUUCACAUCCAGCCAGCUGGGAAGCAGAUAGGCAGGCAGAAGAGGAACUUCUGUUUGAGAAGGCAAGCCCUGAACAGGUGGUGGUGAGCUUCUGCCAGAGGAGCUUGCAGGGACUGAGUGGACUAGGAAGCCUGCAUAUUGGAAGAGCCCCAAGAGAGGCAAGAUUCAAUGAGAAUCAUCAAAUGUUUCAGUGUGGAAAUAACACGAUCCAGUGUGGAGAUGGCUGGCAACUCAAAUACAACAUGUCUCAAAUGAAGGCAUCACUCUACAUUCUACACCAUAAGUCUACUCUCCUCGUGUGUUCCUUAUUUUAGGGGUGGCACUUGGUAGCCCAGUCCAGAAACCUGGGAUUAUCAUGACUCAUUCCUUUAUUUCAUUCCUCCAGAACCAAUGAGUCAAUACUGCCCCUUUGCUUCAUAAAUGGGUCUCAACUUUUCUCCAUUCUCAGUGCUACCGUGGCUGGGUAGCUGCGUCUGGGGAGGUCUCUCCCUGCGCACCAGGUGAAGCACGAUGAGACACCUCAACCUGGACAGGGGAGGGUGCUUGAUUCUCAAACAGGUCAGAGGAGUGUAGGUAAGGAAGGAAUUCAUUAAAGCAAGAGCAACUGGGAACAGAAAACAGGAAAGUGCAAGGGAAAGAGGGAAAGUUCUCGGCCUAGGGCAGAUUCCCUUGACAAUUCCUGAAGCCAGGAUCACCCGGCAUCCUGUGUCUGCUUGGAUCUGCAUGACGUGGGGACUAGCCCCUACCACUCCAGGAUUUGGGGGAGCCCCAGAGCCCAGGAUGAAGUGAGAUUAUGUUCUGAUAACUUCCCAAGAAAAGAUUUUCAGGCAGGCUACUAAGAGCAGAUUGCGCAGCGGCAGUUCCAUCCAGGUCAUCCAGGCAAUGGAAACAUGCAGGUCCAAAUCUGAGCCCUUAGCAGCCCCUUCUACUUAUUAGGAGUAAAGCAGAGACAGAGUGAAGACUUGGAAAUAAAAUGAAAUAGCAAAGAGACAAAUUGCAAUAAAUUAGGCAGUAGGAAAGCUUUAUUUGAAAGUAUGCACUUAAAGAAAGCGUGGGCGUUCUCAGAGAGGAGGUGCAAUGAAAGUUCGGGGAUUCUGUCUUUUAAGGCUUUCAAGAAUGAGGCAAAGAGCAGAGGGGAGGUUGUUAGCUGAAGGCUUGACAUGAUCCCAAGAGGCUAUCUCUGGCGAGACACCAUGUCUCCUCUCCUCUGUUAUCAGUUCUCCUGCUAAUUCUGCUAAAUAAACCCAACACAAGGGAUUUAUUUAUCCUGUUCUUCUCCAAGAGAGUGCUUGCCCUCAAACAGUGGGGACAUAUCACUUAAGACAGCCUGUCCUGCCUUAAGAUAGGCUGUUGGGCUAUUGUCUGAUUACCAGAGAAUAUGUUAGGAAUCUUACUUCUCAACUCUCUGCUUUUUAAAAUGGAAUCUUAGCCUUAAGAUGGGGUCUCUCCUGUUCUCACUAUACUGUUUAUAUCUCAGCAUUUUUCCUCAUAGGCAGGAAACGUUAAUCAUGAUGCUUGCCCCAUGUUCCUGCCAUACCUCACUUCUACCUUGAAACAGGCUUGUAGCAUCUCUCACUUAGGCUCUUAUACACUGUCUCAUAAUAAUCUUACACUUCUUUCGACUCAUUUUCUCAGGCAGAGUAAUUGUUCUGAAACACAAACCUGAAGGUGUCACUUUAGUACUUUAAAAAUUCUGCACUGGCUCUCCAUUGCUCUUAGGAUAAAGAGCAAUUUCUUAAACAUGGACUGAAAUGACCCCUCACAAUCUCACUUUUUCCAGUUUCCUCCCUACCUCUCCUCUUCCGUACCCCCAGUCCUCUGGGUUGCCUGUAUUUUCUUGAAAAGUUGCUUGUUUUCUUGCCUUUGUCUCUCUUCUCUUCCUGGUACUUACUUGACAACUUCUCCCAGAACUCCACCCUCACUCUCAUGCCCCAAGUCAUCCUCUAUUUGGCUUUUAGAGACAGCUAAGGUGUUAAUUCCUCCUGGACUUGACCCUGACUCUACUGAUUUCAGGUUAGGGGAUUCUUCUAUGUGUUGCCAUUAAUUCUCUCUCUCUCCCUGCAAUAUAAUGAGUCAUAAGAAAUACAUAGUUGGUCAUUCAUAUGACCAACUACAUAUUUCCCAGGUAUAUUUGGUCUUCAGCCACAGUUCCUGAAAACACUGCAGUGUCUUAAAAGUGAAGUGGGUGCCUUGUCAUGUUAAUGAGAGACUUUUGGACCCCCAUCCAAGGGUGGGGGGCUGGAGGUUGAUUCACCCAAUGGACAAUAAUUUAGUCAACAAUGACUAUGCUGUGUCACCCUCACAAAAACCCAGGAGAAGAGCUUAUUGCUCUCUCAGACCCUGCUUCUCUGUCAGAGAGAAAGCUUCCAUGCUUGAGUAAUAAGAAUGCUCCCAUGUACUACCCAGCCAGGCCCUGAGCUCCAGGAGGAUAGAAGCUCCUUUAUUUGGGAGCUUGCCCUAGGUAUCUCUUCAUCUGGCUGUUAACGUGUAUCCUUUACAUGUUUUCCUUAGUUCUGUGAGCUGCUCUAGCAAAUUAAUUGAACCUAAGGGAGAGGUCGUUGGAACCUCUUAUCUGUAGCUGGUAGGUCAGAAGUACAAGUAACAGCCUGGGGCUUGCAACCAGCAUCUGGAGUGGGUUGUAUGCAGAGCCCUUAACCUGGAGAAUCUGGUGUUAUUUCUCUGCAGAUAGCAUCAUAAUUGAGUUCCCAGACACCCUGUAGGUGUUAGAGAAUAUUUGGUCUUAUGCAUGAGAAGACCCCCUCCCACACAUACACAUACAUUAGAAUCGGAUCCAGGA